rnacentral:rRNA from 1 species
GAUGAACGCUAGCUACAGGCUUAACACAUGCAAGUCGAGGGGUAGCACGGAGGAAGCUUGCUUCCUUGGGUGACGACCGGCGCACGGGUGAGUAACGCGUAUCCGACCUACCCAUAACUCGGGCACAGCCGCUCGAAAGAGUGAUUGAUUCCCGAUAUGUCCUUGAAGUAGAUUCAAUGAUGAAAGAUUUAUCGGUUAUGGAUGGGGAUGCGUAAGAUUAGGUAGUAGGGGGGGUAACGGCCCACCUAGCCGACGAUCUUUAGGGGUUCUGAGAGGAAGGUCCCCCACACUGGUACUGAGACACGGACCAGACUCCUACGGGAGGCAGCAGUGAGGAAUAUUGGUCAAUGGGCGGAAGCCUGAACCAGCCAAGUAGCGUGAAGGAUUACAGCCCUACGGGUUUUAAACUUCUUUUAUAUAAGAGUAAUGUGCACUACGUGUAGUGUAUUGCAAGUAUUAUAUGAAUAAGCAUCGGCUAACUCCGUGCCAGCAGCCGCCGUAACAC